UUUGCCUACGGGGCGCAGCAGUGGGGAAUAUUGCACAAUGGGGGAAACCCUGAUGCAGCGACGCCGCGUGAGUGAAGAAGUGUCUCGGUACGUAAAGCUCUAUCAGCAGGGAAGAAAAAAAGUCUUUGGCUUUGGACGGUACCUGACUAAGAAGCCCCGGCUAACUACGUGCCAGCAGCCGCGGUAAUACGUAGGGGGCAAUCGUUAUCCGGAUUUACUGGGUGUAAAGGGAGCGUAGACGGCAUCGCAAGUCUGGCGUGACAUGCCGGGGCUCAACCCCGGAACUGCUUUGGAAACUGUGCGGC
rnacentral:rRNA from 1 species